rnacentral:rRNA from 1 species
CCUACGGGCGGCGGCAGUGAGGAAUAUUGGUCAAUGGACGCAAGUCUGAACCAGCCAUGCCGCGUGCAGGAAGACGGCUCUAUGAGUUGUAAACUGCUUUUGUACGAGGACAAACGCAGAUACUAGUACCUGUCUGAAAGUAUCGUACGAAUAAGGAUCGGCUAAAUCCGUGCCAGCAGCCGCGGUAAUACGGAGGAUUCAAGCGUUAUCCGGAUUUAUUGGGUUUAAAGGGUGCGUAGGCGGUCGGAUAAGUUAGAGGUGAAAUCCCGAGGCUCAACUUCGGAAUUGCCGCUGAUACUGUUCGGCUAGAGAGUAGUUGCGGUAGGCGGAAUGUAUGGUGUAGCGGUGAAAUGCUUAGAGAUCAUACAGAACACCGAUUGCGAAGGCAGCUUACCAAGCUACUUCUGACAUUGAUGCUCGAAAGUGUGGGUAUCAAACAGGAUUAGAUACCCCAGUAGUC